CCUAUCUGGUUGAUCCUGCCAGUAGUCAUAUGCUUGUCUCAAAGAUUAAGCCAUGCAUGUCUAAGUCCAAGCUGUGUUCACACGGCGAGACCGCGGACGGCUCAUUAAAUCAGUCGUGGUCCAAAUGGGCCAGUGCAAAUCCUACUUGGAUAACUGUGGUAAUUCCAGAGCUAAUACAUGCAACUGAUAUCCCGAAGGCUGGUGCUUGCUUGUCUUGCGCUUCGCUCCGACGGAUGCUUUUAUUAGACCAAGCCGCUGAGGACUUGAGGGUGUUAAAACCUUCCUGUUCGACUCGUGUGAUGGUGACUCUGGAUAACCAAUUCUGACAAGCGCACGUACUCCUCUUCUGAGCGAGACGGCGCUGCCACUUUCGAGUGUCUGCCUUAUCAGCUAUCAACCGUUCGUUAUGCGCGACCGAUGGCUUUGACGGGUAACGGGGAAUCAGGGUUCGAUUCCGGAGAGGCAGCCUGAGAGACGGCUACCACGUCCAAGGACGGCAGCAGGCACGCAAAUUACCCAAUCCCAGCAAAUGGGGGAGGUAGUGACGAAAUCUAACGAUGCGGGCGCCCUUUCUGGGGCCCCGCAAUCGGAAUGGGCACUUUCUAAAACACCUGUUGAGAACCUACUGAAGGGCAAGUCUGGUGCCAGCAGCCGCGGUAAUUCCAGCUUCAGCAGCAUCUAUUAAAGUUGCUGCGGUUAAAAGGCUCGCAGUUGAAUGUCUGUAUCGAGCGCAGGUCAGGUGGACGUUGGGGCGUGGAAGUACGGGCAGUUGGAUGUGCGUGCUCGCGCGUUGUCACACUCCUUCUCUUCGGAGUUGCCUGUGUGUGUUCUUCGUGUGUCUCGUGUGUUCUUCGGCUUUUCCACACACCCCCGUCCGUGACAAGCCUCCUCGCUCGGGUACAUAACGGGAAUCGGUUAACGGAGUGUAGCUCGAGAUGUGUUGAGUUGGUGGCGUUUGUGCCAUCGGUUUCACGGUCACCUUGAGUAAAUCAGAGUGCUCAAAGCAGUCGUAAGGGCUUUGCGCCCUGUGAACAGUCUUGACGGACUGACUUGGUUUUGCAUGGCAUGUCGGAAGACGACGUCGUGUGCUGGCUCAGAGGAUAAAUCAGUGGUACAAGCCAGCCUCGACGUAAUGAUUAAAAGGGACGGUCGAGGGCAUUGGUAUUGCGAGGCGAGAGGUGAAAUUCUGUGACCCCCGCAAGACCUCCUGAAGCGAAAGCGUUUGCCAAGGACGUUUUCAUUAAUCAUGAACGAAAGUUAGAGGAUCGAAGGCGAUCAGAUACCGCCCUAGUUCCAACCCUAAACGAUGCCAACCAUCAAUCCGCGCGUAGCAUCCUUCUUAACGGGCUCGGCGGGCAGCCCCCCACUCACGGGAAACCAGAGCCUCUGGGUUCCGGGGGGAGUCUGGUUGCAAAGCUGAAACUUAAAGGAAUUGACGGAAAGGCACCACCAGGCGUGGAGCCUGCGGCUUAAUUUGACUCAACACGGGCCAUCUCACCAGGCCAGCACUCUUGUACGAUUGACAGAUUGAGAGCUCUUUCUCGAUUCAGUGGAUGGUGGUGCAUGGCCGUUCUUAGUUGGUGGAGUGAUCUGUCUGGUUAAUUCCGAUAACGAACGAGACUCUCCCCUGCUAACUAGUCGGUUGGAUCUUGAUCAGUGGGUUGCGUGCUGAGUAACUCUCGCUGCGUGCGCGCAUGUGUCGUGUCGUGGGUGGCGUCUUUUGUGGGGCAACCUGCUUGAGCGUCGUUUGCGUGCGGUCGUGUGUGUGUGCGUGGUGUUGGAUGCCUUGGAUCACACUGCACCCCAAGUCCGCCGCUUAUGCUAUAACUCUUCUUAGAGGGAUUCACGGCACUGAAGCCGUAAGAGACUGAGAGCAAUAACAGGUCUGUGAUGCCCUUAGAUGCUCUGGGCCGCACGCGCGCUACAAUGCCGGGCACAGCAGGUGUUCUUCCUGCUCCGACAGAGCGGGUAACCCUCUGAAAGCCAGUGUUUUUGCAAGUGCUUCCUCCCUCGUGGAGUUGCACAGAGGCGUGCUUGGGCCUGGGACUUGCAAUUCUUUCCCACCAACGAGGAAUGCCUAGUAGCGGCGGGUCACUGAGCCCGCUGUGACUCAGUCCCUGCCCUUUGUACACACCGCCCGUCGCUACUACCGAUUGGGUGUACCAGUGAGAGCCUUGGACUGGCGUCCGUUGUCGCUUUCGGUGACAAGCGGGUCCGACGGAAAGAGGUCCGAACUGGUGCACUUAGAGGAAGUAAAAGUCGUAACAAGGUUUCCGUAGUGAACCUGCGGAAGGAUCAUUA
rnacentral:rRNA from 1 species